rnacentral:rRNA from 1 species
GCCAGAGGUGCCAAGCGUUAGGCGGAAUCACUGGGCUUAAAGCGUGUGUAGGCGGAUCGUUAAGUACCUUGUGAAAUCCCACGGCUCAACCGUGGAACUGCUGGGUAUACUGGCGAUCUUGAGCCACCUAGGGGCAACUGGAACAAGCGGUGGAGCGGUGAAAUGCGUAGAUAUCGCUUGGAACGCCAACGGUGAAAACAGGUUGCUGGGGGUGUGCUGACGCUGAGACACGAAAGCCAGGGGAGCGAACGGG